rnacentral:tRNA from 1 species
GCCUCUGUAGUUCAAUGGAUAGAACAGGUCCGUCCUAAGGAUUAGAUGUGGGUUCGAUUCCUGCCAGAGGCACCA